rnacentral:rRNA from 1 species
UGCAGUCGAGCGGUAGCACAAGAGAGCUUGCUCUCUGGGUGACGAGCGGCGGACGGGUGAGUAAUGUCUGGGAAACUGCCUGAUGGAGGGGGAUAACUACUGGAAACGGUAGCUAAUACCGCAUGACGUCUUCGGACCAAAGUGGGGGACCUUCGGGCCUCACGCCAUCAGAUGUGCCCAGAUGGGAUUAGCUAGUAGGUGGGGUAAUGGCUCACCUAGGCGACGAUCUCUAGCUGGUCUGAGAGGAUGACCAGCCACACUGGAACUGAGACACGGUCCAGACUCCUACGGGAGGCAGCAGUGGGGAAUAUUGCACAAUGGGCGCAAGCCUGAUGCAGCCAUGCCGCGUGUAUGAAGAAGGCCUUCGGGUUGUAAAGUACUUUCAGCGAGGAGGAAGGCAUUGUGGUUAAUAACCACAGUGAUUGACGUUACUCGCAGAAGAAGCACCGGCUAACUCCGUGCCAGCAGCCGCGGUAAUACGGAGGGUGCAAGCGUUAAUCGGAAUUACUGGGCGUAAAGCGCACGCAGGCGGUUGAUUAAGUCAGAUGUGAAAUCCCCGAGCUUAACUUGGGAACUGCAUUUGAAACUGGUCAGCUAGAGUCUUGUAGAGGGGGGGUAGAAUUCCAGGUGUAGCGGUGAAAUGCGUAGAGAUCUGGAGGAAUACCGGUGGCGAAGGCGGCCCCCUGGACAAAGACUGACGCUCAGGUGCGAAAGCGUGGGGA